GCAUAUCAAUAAGCGGAGGAAAAGAAACCAACAGGGAUUGCCUUAGUAGCGGCGAGUGAAGCGGCAAAAGCUCAAAUUUGAAAUCUGGCGCCUUCGGUGUCCGAGUUGUAAUUUGAAGAUUGUAACCUUGGGGUUGGCUCUUGUCUAUGUUUCUUGGAACAGGACGUCACAGAGGGUGAGAAUCCCGUGCGAUGAGAUGCCCAAUUCUAUGUAAGGUGCUUUCGAAGAGUCGAGUUGUUUGGGAAUGCAGCUCUAAGUGGGUGGUAAAUUCCAUCUAAAGCUAAAUAUUGGCGAGAGACCGAUAGCGAACAAGUACAGUGAUGGAAAGAUGAAAAGAACUUUGAAAAGAGAGUGAAAAAGUACGUGAAAUUGUUGAAAGGGAAGGGUUUGAGAUCAGACUCGAUAUUUUGUGAGCCUUGCCUUCGUGGCGGGGUGACCCGCAGCUUAUCGGGCCAGCAUCGGUUUGGGCGGUAGGAUAAUGGCGUAGGAAUGUGACUUUACUUCGGUGAAGUGUUAUAGCCUGCGUUGAUGCUGCCUGCCUAGACCGAGGACUGCGAUUUUAUCAAGGAUGCUGGCAUAAUGAUCCCAAACCGCCCGUCUUGAAACACGGAC
rnacentral:rRNA from 1 species